rnacentral:rRNA from 1 species
CCUACGGGUGGCAGCAGUGGGGAAUAUUGCACAAUGGCGGAAACCCUGAUGCAGCGACGCCGCGUGAGUGAAGAAGUAUUUCGGUAUGUAAAGCUCUGUCAGCCGGGCAGAAAAUGACGGUACCUGACCAAGAAGCCCCGGCUAACUAAGUGCCAGCAGCCGCGGUAAUACGUAGGGGGCAGGCGUUAUCCGGAUUUACUGGGUGUAAAGGGAGCGUAGACGGCAGGGCAAGUAUGGAGUGAAAGGCGGGGGCUCAACCCCCGGACUGCUCUGGAAACUGCCAGGCUUGAGUGCAGGGGAGGUAAGUGGAAUUCCUAGUGUAGCGGUGAAAUGCGUAGAUAUUAGGAGGAACCCCAGUGGCGAAGGCAGCUUAUUGGACUGUAACUGACGUUGAGGCUCGAAAGCGUGGGGAGCGAACAGGAUUAGAUACCCGAGUAGUC